UACGUAGGCAGCGAGCGUUGUUCGGAGUUACUGGGCGUAAAGAGUGCGUAGGCGGUUUUCUAAGUUUGGUGUGAAAUCUCCCGGCUUAACUGGGAGGGUGCGCCGAAAACUGGAAGGCUUGAGUAUGGGAGAGGUAAGCGGAAUUCCUGGUGUAGCGGUGAAAUGCGUAGAUAUCGUAAGGAAGACCAGUGGCGAAGGCGGGUCUCUGGACAGUUCCUGACACUGAGGCACGAAGGCCAGGGGAGCAAACGGG
rnacentral:rRNA from 1 species